ACUUAGAGUUUGAUCAUGGCUCAGGACGAACGCUGGCGGCGUGCCUAACACAUGCAAGUCGAGCGGAAAGGCCUCCUUCGGGAGGUACUCGAGCGGCGAACGGGUGAGUAACACGUGGGCAACCAACCCCUCACAUCGGGAUACCCCGGGGAAACUCGGAUCAAUACCGGAUAAUGCGCGGCGCUGUUGGGCGCCGCACCAAAGGUAGCUUCGGCCUCUGGUGAGGGACGGGCCCGCGGCCCAUUAGCUUGUUGGUGGGGUAACGGCCUACCAAGGCAACGAUGGGUAGCUGGUCUGAGAGGAUGAUCAGCCACACUGGGACUGAGAUACGGCCCAGACUCCUACGGGAGGCAGCAGUGGGGAAUAUUGCGCAAUGGGCGGAAGCCUGACGCAGCAACGCCGCGUGCGGGGGGAAGGCCUUCGGGUCGUAAACCGCUUUCAGGGGGGACGAAGCCACCUGGGUUAAUAGCCUAAGGGGUGACGGUACUCCCAGAAGAAGCCCCGGCUAACUACGUGCCAGCAGCCGCGGUACGCC
rnacentral:rRNA from 1 species